GAUGAACGCUAGCGGCAGGCUUAAUACAUGCAAGUCGAGGGGUAUUAGUUUUCGGACUAAGAGACCGGCGCACGGGUGCGUAACGCGUAUGCAAUCUGCCUUUCACAGAGGGAUAGCCCAGAGAAAUUUGGAUUAGUACCUCAUAGUAUUAUAGACUGGCAUCGGUUUAUAAUUAAAGUCACAACGGUGAAAGAUGAGCAUGCGUCCCAUUAGCUAGUUGGUAAGGUAACGGCUUACCAAGGCGACGAUGGGUAGGGGUCCUGAGAGGGAGAACCCCCACACUGGUACUGAGACACGGACCAGACUCCUACGGGAGGCAGCAGUGAGGAAUAUUGGUCAAUGGACGCAAGUCUGAACCAGCCAUGCCGCGUGCAGGAUGACGGUCCUAUGGAUUGUAAACUGCUUUUGUACGAGAAGAAACACUCCUACGUGUAGGAGCUUGACGGUAUCGUAAGAAUAAGGAUCGGUUAACUCCGUGCCAGCCGCCGCGGUAAAAC
rnacentral:rRNA from 1 species